UACGGGGAGGGCAAGCGUUGUUCGGAAUUACUGGGCGUAAAGGGCGCGUAGGCGGCUUUUCAAGUCGGGCGUGAAAUCUCCGGGCUUAACCCGGAAGGGUCGUUCGAUACUGUUGAGCUAGAGUGUGGAAGAGGCAACUAGAAUUCCGUGUGUAGCGGUGAAAUGCGUAGAUAUACGGAGGAAUACCUGAGGCGAAGGCGGGUUGCUGGGCCAACACUGACGCUGAGGCGCGAAAGCCAGGGGAGCAAACGGG
rnacentral:rRNA from 1 species